rnacentral:rRNA from 1 species
UACGUAGGGUGCGAGCGUUGUCCGGAAUUAUUGGGCGUAAAGGGCUCGUAGGCGGUUUGUCGCGUCGGGAGUGAAAACCUCGGGCUUAACUCGGGGCUUGCUUUCGAUACGGGCAGACUGGAGGUAUGCAGGGGAGAACGGAAUUCCUGGUGUAGCGGUGAAAUGCGCAGAUAUCUGGAGGAACACCGGUGGCGAAGGCGGCAUCCUGGACCAACACUGACACUGAGGAGCGAAAGCCAGGGGAGCAAACGGG